GCUCCGCCAAGCCAUCCGGCAAGGCCCUGGGAUCUGAGGCCUGGAAGGGCCAAGGCGAAAGCAACCGAGAAGGGACAAGAUGAGGUGUGGGACAUGGAGCGAGCCCACAGGCCACGGGGUUGCUAGAGGACUGCCUCUUCCUGGAACCCCUCAUUCAUAAGGAAGCCUGGAAGAGAGCCGGCCUGCGCUAGGGGCUGAGCCGUGGGCCCUUUGUUUGAAAGCCAAAGCUUUCCAAAGGCUCCAGCCUCCCAGCCUGGCCCUUAUAAUUAGCCCCAAUCAGAGUGUUUAUGUCGGGGCCUAGUGCGGAACUCAGGGCCUCAUGAUUUCAUUCCAAACCUGGGGGGAGGAGAGGGGAGUGAGAGGGACUUGUGUGGGGACAAAGAAAACUGAGGGAUGGGUAACAAAGUUGGUGAGAGAAGAGGAGGCCGUCCUGGAGCAGGAAGACAAUCAGCCUCCGUUUGGCCAUCAUCACACAGUCCUGUGAGGCCUCCAAGGGGCAUCCCAACACCCUUCCUCCCUCAGCAAGUGAAGCUUUCCAGCGUCUGGAUCUGGCUCGUCUCUCCAGUUUCACUUCCCUGCACUUCUGGGCUCCAGCCUGGGGACUCUCACCUUCUCAGACCAAACGUACCAGUGGCCUGAAUGCUCUUCCCUUCCUCUGGUCUGAACAUUAACUACCAGUAGCCUCAGAACUUGCCUCAGGUCAAGUGGCCCCUCUGCAGUGAGCCACACCCCUGUCCAACCCUCUGACACCCUCUGUCCCUAGCAUCCUGUUCUCACUUGCCAGAGCACAUCACAUUCUUUUUAGUUAUUUGUUGCCUUUCUUGAGUGUGACCUCCUUAAGGAAAGUCUGUGUUUGGUGUGUCUUUUAUCUCUGUAUAUCAGAACCUAGCAAGAUGCCUGGCGCAUAUGGGUGCCCAAGAUCAUAGGCUCAGGAGCCAGUCUACCAGGGCUUGAAUUCUGCCUCAACCAUUGCUAGCUGUUGACCUUGAGCAAGUUCAUUCACCUCUCUGUAUUAUGUGUAAAUGAGGAUAGUAAUUAAUUGUACCUACCAUGUAACUAGUGUGAGGAUUAAACAAACUAAAUAAAGUGUUUAAAACAAUGUUCAGUACAUAGUAAACACUCAGUAAAGGCUUGCUGGGCUUAUUCAUUCAU